rnacentral:rRNA from 1 species
GACGAACGCUGGCGGCGUGCCUAAUACAUGCAAGUAGAACGCUGGAGGAGGAGCUUGCUUCUCUGGAUGAGUUGCGAACGGGUGAGUAACGCGUAGGUAACCUGCCUGGUAGCGGGGGAUAACUAUUGGAAACGAUAGCUAAUACCGCAUAAGAGUAGAUGUUGCAUGACAUUUGCUUAAAAGGUGCAAUUGCAUCACUACCAGAUGGACCUGCGUUGUAUUAGCUAGUUGGUGGGGUAACGGCUCACCAAGGCGACGAUACAUAGCCGACCUGAGAGGGUGAUCGGCCACACUGGGACUGAGACACGGCCCAGACUCCUACGGGAGGCAGCAGUAGGGAAUCUUCGGCAAUGGACGGAAGUCUGACCGAGCAACGCCGCGUGAGUGAAGAAGGUUUUCGGAUCGUAAAGCUCUGUUGUAAGAGAAGAACGAGUGUGAGAGUGGAAAGUUCACACUGUGACGGUAUCUUACCAGAAAGGGACGGCUAACUACGUG